rnacentral:lncRNA from 1 species
UCAAAAGUGAAAGACAAUUCUUGGGCUUCUAAAGGACUAAUUUGAGACUAAGAAUAAUUAGAGUGUAAUCAAUUAGGAAUGGAUCUUGGGAUUAUGUUUUUCUAGGAGGGAACUAGUAUGAGCAGAUAUAUGAAAGAUAGCAUCCAAUUUUAAUUAAUAUGUGAGUGGGGAGGCUAAAUUCGGGGUUUUGGUGUUAAUCUCUUAAAAAAAUAUUGAUAUAUCGCUCAUGGAUUCUUUCAAAUACCUCAUGGGUAUUGACAUUCUAUUCAACCCAAAAGCCACAAUUUAAUAUCCCUAUCACUAGGAUGAUUUUCAAGAGAUAGCAAUUCUACAUUUUAU